UUUGGUAGGUUCACGUGUUUGGAAAAUGGGAGGUGUGGGAGGGAGGGGGGAUACAUACCGCCCACUCCCUCCCACACCUCCCAUUACCCAAACACAUGAACCUACCGAA
rnacentral:pre_miRNA from 1 species